rnacentral:rRNA from 1 species
UGGGGAAUAUUGGACAAUGGGCGAAAGCCUGAUCCAGCCAUGCCGCGUGUGUGAAGAAGGUCUUCGGAUUGUAAAGCACUUUAAGUUGGGAGGAAGGGCAGUAAGCGAAUACCUUGCUGUUUUGACGUUACCGACAGAAUAAGCACCGGCUAACUCUGUGCCAGCAGCCGCGGUAAUACAGAGGGUGCAAGCGUUAAUCGGAAUUACUGGGCGUAAAGCGCGCGUAGGUGGUUCGUUAAGUUGAAUGUGAAAGCCCCGGGCUCAACCUGGGAACUGCAUCCAAAACUGGCGAGCUAGAGUAGGGCAGAGGGUGGUGGAAUUUCCUUUGUAGCGGUGAAAUGCGUAGAUAUAGGAAGGAACACCAGUGGCGAAGGCGACCACCUGGGCUCAUACUGACACUGAGGUGCGAAAGCGUGGGGAGCAAACAGG